AGAGUCAGCCCUUUUUCCCCCCCUGGCUCUUAGGAACCCCAUCGCAGUGGGGGGAUGCAUCCCUCGCGAGACGUGGACUUAGAACCAGCUGCUCUUCCCCCCCUGGCUCUUGGGCCCCCCCUCGCAGGGGGAGCGGCACCCUAGUUGAAAUAGAAUUAGUUUUUAAGGGCAUGGCUAAGGCAAAAUUAGAAAUAUAUAUAUAUCAGGCUGGGUGUGGUGGCCUACACAUGUAAUCCCAGCACUUUGGGAGGCUGAGGCAUGAGGAUCACUUGAGCCGAGGAGUUUGAGACCAGCCUAGGCAACAUAGCAAGACCCCACGCUUACAGAAAAUUUAAAAAAAAAUUAGUCAGGCAUGGUGACACAUGCCUGUGGUCCCGGCUUCUUGGGAGGCUGAGAUGGGAGGAUCACUUGAGCCCAGGAGGUUGAGGCUUCAGUAAGCCAUGUUUGUGCCACUGCACUCCAGCCUGAGUGACAGAGAACCCCAUCUCAACAAAAUAAAUAAAUAAAAAGAAAAGAAAUAUAUAUAGGAAUGGGAAUUAGAACUCUCAAGUAUAGAGCCACCCACUAUGCCUACCCUUAAGCAAAACUGCCCCACCAAUUCAAAAUACCCAGAGACAUGUCCAUUUUCAUGAUCUUCUAUGGACAUAUACGAGACUUAUGAAAUAUUCAUUGCAGCAUUAUUUGCAAUAGCCAAGCUGUGAGAACAAGUUAAAUGUCCACUAACAGAAAAAGGGAUAAAGCAAAUGUGGUAUAUGUAGAAAAUGGAAUAUUAUUCAGACUUAAAAAGGAAACCUUGCCAUAUGCAAAAACAUGGAUGAACCUUGAUGACUUUAUGCUACGUGAAAUAAACUAGUCACAGAAAGACAAAUAAUGCAUGAUUCCACUUGUGUCAGGUAAUUAAAAUAGUCAACCCCACAGAAAGAGUGUAGAAUGGUGGAUGCCAGGGGCUAUGAAGACAGGGAAAUGGGAAGCUGCUAUUCAAGGGGUAUAAAGCUUCAGUUAUAAAGAGUGAAACGUUCCAGAGAUCUGCUGCACAUCCUCAUGCCUAUAGUUAGCAAUACCGUAUUGUACACUUAAAAAAUUGUUAAGAGGGUAGAUCUCAUGUUAGAUGUUCUUACUACAAUAAAAAAAGAAAAAGAUACUGAUGCACAAGAAUAACUAAAUUUUCUUCCCUCCCUUACCAAAAAGAUUCCCCACAGGAGAAGGCAGAAAACUAAUCCAUUAUUAAAGUGAAGAGAGGAGAGAGGAGCCAAGAUGGCCAAAUAGGAACAGCUCCGGUCUACAGCUCCCAGCGUGCGAGACACAGAAGACAGGCGAUUUCUCCAUUUCCAUCUGAGAUUGUGCAAUAUAACAGAGGAACCAAGAAGAAACCUCUCACUUGACCUUCUCUGGGUAACUUCAUUCAUUGCUUCUAUUGCAUUAAAUGCUGUCACAUUUGUGGAACUGAAAAGAACAAUGUCAGUAGCCUGGGUGUCAAGUCCUGAGAAUAGAGAGCUGUCAUUUUAAGUUGUCCAAUUCUUUGCCUAUGAUUAAAAAAUGAAUAUUUCAGAUCAA